UGAUCUGCCAGGCAAGCAACACAAGUCAUUGUACUGCUACAUGCCUGCUACUGAGAUAGGAACAAAGAGAGGCUGGUCCCGCCUCUUGGUGCUCUCCGUUGGACACCUCUGCUGGGCAGUACUGGCUUUUACCACAGAGACACCAGGGAUGUGUGAGCGCCCGGAGACCAUGUGAGGACACAGUGGGAAGACAGACACCUGCAAGCCAAGGAGAGAGGCCUGAGGAGAAGCCAAACCUGCUGACACCUUGAUCUUGAGCUUCUAUCCUACAGCACUGUGAGAUGAUACAUUUCUGCUGUUGAAACCACUCCUAGUCUGUGGUUCUUCGUGAUGGCAGCGCCAGGAAACAAAUGCAGAUACCAUCACCUUCCUGUCGGCAGUCCAAGUUCACCCAGCAGACCCAAGGAGACGCUGCAGGCGAAAGUACCGUGGAGAUUAGCAGGCAACAGGCAAUUCUCUUUCAUUCUUCUCUUAUUGCAUUAAGGAGAAAAUCUCAUUUGGUGAAGGUGAGAAAACCUGAGGUGGAGGAGAGGUUAAGGGGCUCGUCUGAGUUCACACAGCAGGUCAGUGUUGAAGCAUGGAUUGGUGAGUUGGGAAUCACUGUGGCCUUGUGGUCUCAAAUAAAACAUCCCUUUGCUUGUCUGCGGGUUUCUGAAGCUGCCUGCCCCGUAACCUCCCCUGGGCUAGGUCUGCAGAAUGAGGUUCCACUGGGGGCACUCCAGCUGCCUCAUUCUGCAGAGUUCUGGCUCUGGAUUCUGAAGCAUCUGCAAAGGAGAUACAUUCGCUUGGGUUUUGAGAAGACAGAACUGUUUGCCCCAUGCUGGGAACUACUGGGGAAGGAUGAGAGCACAUGAGGCUUGGCCAGAGUGCCUGGAGGCUGGCUUAGGGUCAGCUGCAUGAUCCUUGCAUGAAGGAGGAGGAACAGCCCCUCUUCGUAUGCCAUCACCUAAGGUCACCUCCCAUCCUCUGCCCCGGACACCGGCUCCUGGAAAAUGCUCUUUCCUCCCGGUGCCACUGCCUCAGCGAGCUUGAUGCCAGCUCCCCUUCCAUAGACACAGAACUCUCCAAACUCCCAGUGGUUUGGGAAGAAGAGCCACCACAUCCCAAGCCCAGCACCACCUUUUUGGAUGUGAUAUGUCAAAGUAGUAAGACGAUGAAGUGUCGUGUGCUGGCCCAUCAGAACCUUAGCGACAGAUACAGGCCCACAGUGCCUUGGAGAGUCACAGCCUCUAGAGUGACAUGGAAUUUAUUAUACUUUCCAUCUAUCGCUUGGCAGCCUUCUCCCAGCUCUUUUCUCUUGAAAAAUGGUUCCUGCCAAUCUUGCUGUUUACUUAAGUGGUUAUUAAGUAUUUUUCCUGCUGCUAGUCUGGUACUUCUUGAUAAACAUUAUCUAUUUAAGAAGAACUUUUAGGGAGAGCUCCACUCUGCCCCUACACACACACACACACACACCCCCCCACACACCCACCCCCACACACACACACCCACACACACACCCCCGCACACACACCCACACCCACACACACACAUACACACACACACACAUGCACACACACACACACGCACACACACAGAGAGAGAGAGAGUGUCUGGACAUGAGAGUCCAGGUCUCAAACCUCCUCUCCAAGCUGGUUGUGGUCAGGCCACCACUGAACGUAUCAGUUGACCUGAUGUGACAGCCUGGUCUCCUCUUCGCCCCUCUGGCUAGCCUCCUCUGGGCAUUGGAAGUGGCUCCACCUUUGAGCUGCACACAGCUGCCAGUUAUGCCUCCCAAGGCAUUCCAGGGCUGCUCUGCUAAGGGCAUCUGCUUGGCUUUGCCCUGCAGCAGGGUUGAGGGAGGGAAGUUGGCUCGUGUGCAUCGGGGGACCCUCCUGUGUGUCAGUGCUAAGAUCCUAUCUACAUUUCUCGAACCCUGAACUGGAGGGCUGGGGUUCUGGGUGGCACUGAGGUCAGGUGAGGCCUGGAUAGGAGGGCAGGACACUGAGGAAUAGGAAGAAAGGCGAUGUAGCUGGCACACACUUGCCAUGGGUGGGCUGGGGGUCUGGGGGCUUGAUUGAAAUUGGGCAUCUGUGUUAGCAGUGGGUGUCCGAGCCUCACCCACCCAGGCAUGGCAGGGCAUGAGACACUGAGCUGUGCCCAGCUUCUGUGGCUUCCCUUACGUGCCAAGUGCAAGAUGGGCUGCUAGUGAGCUUGGCUACUUUGGGCGAAUCCUCCCUUCUCUGGGCCUCAGUUCAUUCAUCUGGGGACUAAACGGGGUGGGCUCCAUCCCUACCGCCACAGUCCAGGACUUCCAGAGGGCAUGGAUCUCAGGGACACUCCACAGGCUGAAAAUCCUUCAAUUUAGGAGCUGCUGCUGCCGCCCUGAAAACCGAGCCAAGCUCAUCUUCCAAACGAGAGUCCCGGGUGGAUAAAUUGUCCAGCGCCUCACCCUGUGUCCGUCCUAGGUCAGUGCUGUUUAAAAUGUAGGUGCUGUUGUUAUUUAGGUCUGAUGUGGCUAACAGACCCGGCCAUCGACAAGACUGUUUAUUACUCACAGCCCCGAGAAAGGCCCAGACCACACCGUGCAGGCCACACGGGGAAGCACCAGGGCUGGCCAGAGGCAGACGGAAGUGAAGCCCAGCAGGAGCCUUUCCUGUGGUUUCCGUGGGAAGGACUGGGUGGGAUACGCAGGUUUAGGAUUGCUAGUUCGAAUAAUUUCAGAGGGCUCUAGGGGUAGGGAUUGUCCCAAGAGGUCUGGCAGUUGGCCCUGGGGUGAUCAGGGCAGGUGCAUAGUGGCCCAGGGUGAGAGAGCCUGAUAAAGGAGGUGGCUAGGGUGUGGGCUCUGGACUGGCUGGUUUGCAUAUGAAAGGCCCUUUAGAAGGUGAGCUGUUUGCUACGUUGAGGAAUUACCUAACCCUGGGAGGGGCAGUCCCACCAGGGUCUGGAAGGCCCCAAGAUGUCAAAGCAUCAGAAUGCAGAAAAUAAAAGGCAUGGUUAAUAGACACACAA